rnacentral:tRNA from 1 species
GCUGGUAUGGCUCAGUUGGUAGAGCAGCUGAUUCGUAAUCAGCAGGUCGCCGGUUCGAGUCCGGCUACCAGCUCCA